ensembl:lncRNA
GUUGUUUCCAGCAUUAUUUCCUUUUUAUUUGUCAUCUAUGUAUGUAUAAAAGAGAGACCAGUUUCAUUUUAGGAAAGUCUGUAAAAUGGUUUGCAGAACUAUAUACACUAUAAAACUGAAACUGUUAGUUACACAGUGUAGGAUUUCCCCACGCUGCCCCACACACAUCCAGUGUUAACAGAAGGGGAUCUGUUAGAGGAAGAGGAAGGCUUGUCAGUGUUUUCAUUGCAGCUCCAGACCACAUUUCACCUUUCAGCUGCGGUUAGCGCUCAAAUGAGGCUGCACUUUGCAUACGAGAGAAAACAAUCACAUGGACGUUGCAUCUGUAUUCGUAGCACACUUUAUGCGAACAGCCAUCUGCAUCGGCUGUAGGUCUGUAGUGAAGGCAAGUGAGUGAGGGAGGGAGGGAGUAAGGCAGGUAGGUGAGUGAAUGAAGUAGGGAGGUGAGGUAGGUAGGUGAGUGAAUGAAGUAGGGAGGUAGGUAGGUGAGGUAGGUAGGUGAGUGAAUGAGGUAGGUAGGUAGGUGAGGGAGGGAGGUAGUUGGUGAGGGAGGUAGGUAGGUAGGUGAGUGAAUGAAGUAGGGAGGUAGGUAGGUGAGUGAAUGAGGUAGGUAGGUGAGGUAGGUAGGUGAGUGAAUGAGGUAGGUAGGUAGGUAGGUGAGUGAAUGAGGUAGGUAGGUGAGGUAGGUAGGUAGGUAGGUGAGUGAAUGAGGUAGGUAGGUGAGGUAGGUAGGUAGGUGAGUGAAUGAGGUAGGUAGGUGAGUGAAUGAGGUAGGUAGGUGCGGU